ACGGGUGCGGAACACGUACGCAACCUCCCUCUAUCUGGAAGAUAGCCCACCGAAAGGUGGAUUAAUAUUCCAUAAUAUAUUGAAAAGGCAUCUUUUUAAUAUUAAAGCUCCGGCGGAAAGAGAUGGGCGUGCGUCUGAUUAGGUAGUUGGCGGGGUAACGGCCCACCAAGCCUGCGAUCAGUAGCUGAUGUGAGAGCAUGAUCAGCCACACGGGCACUGAGACACGGGCCCGACUCCUACGGGAGGCAGCAGUAAGGAAUAUUGGUCAAUGGACGCAAGUCUGAACCAGCCAUGCCGCGUGGAGGAUGAAGGUCCUCUGGAUUGUAAACUUCUUUUCUCUGGGACGAAACCCCCGAUUUCUAUCGGGCCUGACGGUACCAGAGGAAUAAGCACCGGCUAACUCCGUGCCAGCAGCCGCGGUAAUACGGAGGGUGCAAGCGUUAUCCGGAUUCACUGGGUUUAAAGGGAGCGUAGGUGGGCAGGUAAGUCAGUGGUGAAAUCUCUGGGCUUAACCCGGAAACUGCCAUUGAUACUAUUUGUCUUGAAUGUUCUGGAGGUAAGCGGAAUAUGUCAUGUAGCG
rnacentral:rRNA from 1 species